UACGUAGGGGGCAAGCGUUGUCCGGAAUCAUUGGGCGUAAAGAGCGUGUAGGCGGUUUGGUAGGUCCGCUGUGAAAACUCGAAGCUCAACCUCGAGACGCCGGUGGAAACCAUCAGGCUAGAGUCCGGAAGAGGAGAGUGGAAUUCCUGGUGUAGCGGUGAAAUGCGCAGAUAUCAGGAAGAACACCCGUGGCUAAGGCGGCUCUCUAGUACGGUACUGACGCUGAGACGCGAAAGCGUGGGGAGCGAACAGG
rnacentral:rRNA from 1 species